CCAUGAUUUCACACGCAUAAUCUGGCUGUCUUCAAGACUGAAACUUGAAGAAAAGUUUAGAACUUUAACGUUCACACUCUAAAUCACACACACAGUCCCAACGCCCCCACUACUGCCUCCAGUCCACCAAGAUGCUGGAGCGAGUCCUCUCUUUCCGUGGUGCUUCUCCUCACCCCGACGACGCCGUUUCCGACUCCGACACUUUAGCCAUCUCCGGCGACGAGUCCAAGACCAAGAAACAGAGCCUUUACUUAUUGGCUGCCAAUUACAUGUCCCGCUUGUCGCACGUCUGUCCUUGUCCUACCCCGUGUCUAAUCCUCUGCCA
rnacentral:misc_RNA from 1 species